GUUGGCAAGUGUGUCGUCAACUAAAAUGUUAUAAUUUGAAUCUUUCAAAUUGAAUAUGGUUAUUCUACAGAUAGUUCAAUAUCAACUAUCAUGUAAAAACAUAGAGAUGCAACGGUGGGAGAAUAAAAUGAGUCAAAACAAAUCUAGUAACGCGUUUUACACAAUUUUAACAUUUUUACCUAUGUUACUAAAUGACUGAGCAAUGGUCCUCUAGGUUGGUUUAAGACUGUGCACCCGACAAAACUUGUUACUCCAUUCUUCCAAAAUAUCUUUGUUCAGUCGUACCAAAUUUCGUAGCGAAAACAAAACCAGCCGUGGUAGGGUAUAUAUACAAACAAUAAAACAAAAAAAAAAAGCAAUACAAUACACACAGUAAAGAUCUUAGAGUACUUACGGUUACUAGAGGUUAAAAAACAAAUAAUUAUUAAUAAGUGGGAUUAUGUUGUCGGGGGAAAUUAACCCGUGUUGUUCUGAGAUGAAAAUGCCUUAAUGUGAUGAGGGUUCAAAACAUUCCUUCUGUUAUUUUGUGUUUUACCAAACAUAAUAGCACACUUAAAACACAUAUACACAUGAUAAAAUCGAAAACAAAUAUCUAAAAAACAUGACAUCAGAUAGGAGGCAUUAUUAUCAUUUUU
rnacentral:lncRNA from 1 species